rnacentral:rRNA from 1 species
GAUGAACGCUAGCGGCAGGCUUAACACAUGCAAGUCGAGGGGUAUAGGUUUUCGGACCUAGAGACCGGCGCACGGGUGCGUAACGCGUAUGCAAUCUACCUUUCACAGAGGGAUAGCCCAGAGAAAUUUGGAUUAAUACCUCAUAGUAUAGCAGUUUCGCAUGAAACCACUAUUAAAGUUCUAACGGUGAAAGAUGAGCAUGCGUCCCAUUAGCUAGAUGGUAAGGUAACGGCUUACCAUGGCUACGAUGGGUAGGGGUCCUGAGAGGGAGAUCCCCCACACUGGUACUGAGACACGGACCAGACUCCUACGGGAGGCAGCAGUGAGGAAUAUUGGUCAAUGGACGCAAGUCUGAACCAGCCAUGCCGCGUGCAGGAUGACGGUCCUAUGGAUUGUAAACUGCUUUUGUACGAGAGGAAACAACAUUACGUGUAAUGUCUUGACGGUAUCGUAAGAAUAAGGAUCGGCUAACUCCGUGCCAGCCGCCGCGGUAAGAC